GUACUCAGUCCCUGGUAUUCAUAGCAGCUGAAGCGGGUCAGGUCAAGCAAGGGUUGAAAAUGCAAGACAAUUCUACCUGGGUCGUUAAUUGUUGAUGAACGAAAAGGGAGCUUCCCUUAAGACAACAGCAGUAAGUGUUGUCUUACGGGAUCAGAGAUGUUAUUCCAUGAACUGGAAAUGUGAAAAAAAUUAUCCUUCAAUUUUCCACCCAAAACAAGUAUAACGUCAAAUACUGGCGUUGGAGGGGACGAGUACAAAAAAGGCAUAUAAGCAGAAGAAUCAAUAGCAAGAAGAUGACACAGCACACGGCGAUGAUAAUCCAGAUUACUGCCAAAAACAAAAAUAGAUCAGUGUACGCGCUGGUGUUACUUGAUAUCAAAUCGACACUAAAGCGUUCAUUGAAAAUCUUGACGGUCACGUUUAUGGUGCGGAUUAACUCAUUCGUCCAUGGCUUGUAUGGAACAGAUAUCGAGGAAGACCU